GAUGAACGCUGGCGGCGUGCUUAACACAUGCAAGUCGAACGGAAAGGCUCCUGCUUGCAGGGGUACUCGAGUGGCGAACGGGUGAGUAACACGUGGGUGAUCUGCCCUGCACUUCGGGAUAAGCCUGGGAAACUGGGUCUAAUACCGGAUAGGACGAUGGUUUGUAUGCCAUUGUGGAAAGUUUUUCGGUGUGGGAUGGGCUCGCGGCCUAUCAGCUUGUUGGUGGGGUAAUGGCCUACCAAGGCGUCGACGGGUAGCCGGCCUGAGAGGGUGUACGGCCACAUUGGGACUGAGAUACGGCCCAGACUCCUACGGGAGGCAGCAGUGGGGAAUAUUGCACAAUGGGCGCAAGCCUGAUGCAGCGACGCCGCGUGGGGGAUGACGGCCUUCGGGUUGUAAACUCCUUUCGCUAGGGACGAAGCGCAAGUGACGGUACCUGGAGAAGAAGCACCGGCUAACUACGUG
rnacentral:rRNA from 1 species